UAGAGUUUGAUCCUGGCUCAGAUUGAACGCCGGCGGAAUGCUUUACACAUGCAAGUCGAGCGGCAGCGCGGGGGCAACCCUGGCGGCGAGCGGCGAACGGGUGAGUAACACAUCGGAACGUACCCUGUCGUGGGGGAUAACGAAUCGAAAGAUUCGCUAAUACCGCAUACGACCUGAGGGUGAAAGCGGGGGAUCGCAAGACCUCGCGCGAUAGGAGCGGCCGAUGUCGGAUUAGCUAGUUGGUGGGGUAAAGGCCCACCAAGGCGACGAUCCGUAGCUGGUCUGAGAGGACGACCAGCCACACUGGGACUGAGACACGGCCCAGACUCCUACGGGAGGCAGCAGUGGGGAAUUUUGGACAAUGGGGGCAACCCUGAUCCAGCCAUUCCGCGUGAGUGAAGAAGGCCUUCGGGUUGUAAAGCUCUUUCGGCAGGAACGAANAGGCUCUCUCUAAUACGGGGCGUUCUUGACGGUACCGGAAGAAUAAGCACCGGCUAACUACGUGCCAGCAGCCCCGGUCAA
rnacentral:rRNA from 1 species